CAGAGAUUGGAUCAAUAACAGUUUACAGGCUGACGGUUCAUUCUUAGGAACUCCAGGGAGAGGAAGUCACCAUGAGGCAGGAAGAAGGUGGAUUAACCUUCAGAAAGUAAAAGCCUGUGAUGAAACCUUUGUCACUAAUCAGAGGAAACACAUGCAACACUGCAACAAAGAACCAGGGUUGAAGCUGAACCAGGAGCUUCUUGCUGUUGUCUUCCUGCCUGGACUUUACUAGUCUGUGUGUUUGUGCCAGUAGAAACCAUAUCUGGAUGAGAGGGUGGAGCUGGGGAGGAGGGAGGAGGGAGGAGGGAGGGGUAGAUCUGACCUGUGUCCUCGAGGACACCAGGUAAACCCACCUGCAUCGGCAGCCUGACAGCAACAGGCUCCUGGCUGAGCCGUGCUAAGAUGCUGCUAACACGGUUAGCUGUCACAACUGUUACAUUAGUCUUACAGGCUAAUAUCAUAUAUGUGAGGAGUAACUUGCUAUUGUAGUUGUAGUUAGCAUGUGUGCUAACGUUAAACUGUAAAACAACGUGCAGCAUUGUGUGGCUAUUUCUAUGUUAGCUUUAAUCAACGACAUAAAUACUAGAAAUAUUUAAAUGACAACACUGACAAUGAAGGAUAAAAAAAACAUGCUGAUGUCAAUUGGUAAAUACUUUCACCUGUGGAGGUGGUGACAGUGCUAGAGAUGAUCCAUCACUUAAUCACUGUUUAAUAUUUAUAAAUCCUGAUCUUUAAAGUGUUGCUACCAUCACCUGUCAACAACAGCAGAAGUGAAGCUGCAGGUAAGAAACUGAACCUGUGAAUACUGAAGACAGAUUAAUAAACUAACUCAUCAGCAGUUAGUCUGUCAUUUCAUCAGAGGAAGAUGAACUGGGAGGUUUUCUAGCAUCAUCAUCAUCAUCAUCAUCAUCAUCACAGCACAUCAGAGAACUAAGGAUGUCCAUGCAGUCUCCCUUCAACCAGAUGAAUGGAAACUAAUGUGCUGCUCUGUACAUGAGCUCCUCCUUCUGUUGGCACAGAUCACUCAGUUUUCACAGUGUGGAAACC